rnacentral:rRNA from 1 species
CUCCUACGGGAGGCAGCAGCUAAGAAUCUUCCACAAUGGACGAAAGUCUGAUGGAGCGACGCCGCGUGAAUGAAGAAGGCCGAGAGGUUGUAAAAUUCUUUUAUGGAUGAGGAAUAAAGCAGGGAGUGGAAAGCCCUGAAGAUGACGUUAGUCCCAUGAAUAAGCUCCGGCUAAUUCCGUGCCAGCAGCCGCGGUAAUACGGAAAGGAGCGAGCGUUGUUCGGAAUUAUUGGGCGUAAAGGGCGCGUAGGCUGUUAAACAAGUCUGUAGUCAAAUACCUCGGCUUAACUGAGGGAAGGCAAUGGAAACUGUUUAACUAGAAUUACCUAGGGGAAACUGGAAUUUCUGGUGUAGGGGUGGAAUCUGUUGAUAUCAGAAGGAACACCAAAGGCGAAAGCAAGUUUCUGGGGGAUAAUUGACGCUGAGGCGCGAAAGUGUGGGGAGCAAACAGGAUUAGAUACCCUGGUAGUCCACGCCGUAAACGAUGAGUGCUAAGUGUUAGAGGGUUUCCGCCCUUUAGUGCUGAAGUAAACGCAUUAAGCACUCCGCCUGGGGAGUACGGCCGCAAGGCUGAAACUCAAAGGAAUUGACGGGGACCCGCACAAGCGGUGGAGCAUGUGGUUUAAUUCGAAGCAACGCGAAGAACCUUACCAGGUCUUGACAUCCUCUGACCAUCCUAGAGAUAGGACCUUCCCCUUCGGGGGACAGAGUGACAGGUGGUGCAUGGUUGUCGUCAGCUCGUGUCGUGAGAUGUUGGGUUAAGUCCCGCAACGAGCGCAACCCUUGUCCUUAGUUGCCAGCAUUCAGUUGGGCACUCUAAGGAGACUGCCGGUGACAAACCGGAGGAAGGUGGGGAUGACGUCAAAUCAUCAUGCCCCUUAUGACCUGGGCUACACACGUGCUACAAUGGAUGGUACAACGGGUUGCGAAGCCGCGAGGUGUAGCUAAUCCCAUAAAACCAUUCUCAGUUCGGAUUGUAGGCUGCAACUCGCCUACAUGAAGCCGGAAUCGCUAGUAAUCGCGGAUCAGAAUGCCGCGGUGAAUACGUUCCCGGGUCUUGUACACACCGCCCGU